rnacentral:lncRNA from 1 species
UUAAUUGUUCUGCUUAUCUAAUCAGUUGGCAAAACUAUAACCUUAUGACAUGAAAGUUAUAAGUAAUAUGCAACAGCUGGCGGGAUCAUCAAACAAGAAAUCAUCUGCUGGUGGUGAUUUCUCACUCAAGUUCAGUAACCAGAAGGUAAACAUAUUCAGUUCUUAUAGUACCUACUCCUUUGUAUAGAAUCAAUCAAAACUAAAACAUCACGUAC